UGCUACAGCCAUGUCACCUUGCAGCCCAAGACCGAGCACUCACAGAAGCUAAGCCCGGUCAGUACCUGGAUGGGAGACCACAUGGGAAAACUGGGUUGCUGUAGGAA
rfam:Danio rerio chromosome 14, GRCz11 reference primary assembly.